GUACAGCGGCGCACGGGUGAGUAACGCGUGGGUAACCUACCUCGAAGUCUGGAAUAACUCGGGGAAACCUGAGCUAAUACCGGAUGAGCCCACGAGGCCCUCGGGUCAUGUGGGAAAAGAUGGCCUCUGCUUGCAAGCUAUCGCUACGAGAUGAGCCCGCGUCCCAUUAGCUAGUUGGUGAGGUAACGGCUCACCAAGGCGACGAUGGGUAGCUGGUCUGAGAGGACGAUCAGCCACACUGGAACUGAGACACGGUCCAGACUCCUACGGGAUGCAGCAGUCGGGAAUAUUGGGCAAUGGGCGCAAGCCUGACCCAGCGACGCCGCGUGAGGGAUGAAGGCCUUCGGGUCGUAAACCUCUGUCGGGGGGAAGAACGGCGGUGAGUUGAAUAAUCUCACUGUCUGACGGUACCUCCAAAGGAAGCGCCGGCUAACUCCGUGCCAGCAGCCGCGGUAAUACGGAGGGCGCAAGCGUUGUUCGGAAUCACUGGGCGUAAAGCGCGUGUAGGCGGCCGGGCAAGUCGGAUGUGAAAUCCCGAGGCUCAACCUCGGAACUGCACUCGAAACUGCUCGGCUCGAGUCCCGGAGAGGAUGGCGGAAUUCCCGGUGUAGGGGUGAAAUCCGUAGAUAUCGGGAGGAACACCAGUGGCGAAGGCGGCCAUCUGGACGGUAACUGACGCUGAGACGCGAAAGCGUGGGGAGCAAACAGGAUUAGAUACCCUGGUAGUCCACGCCGUAAACGGUGAGUGCUAGACGUCGCGGGUAUUGACCCCCGCGGUGUCGAAGCUAACGCGUUAAGCACUCCGCCUGGGGAGUACGGCCGCAAGGCUAAAACUCAAAGGAAUUGACGGGGGCCCGCACAAGCGGUGGAGCAUGUGGUUCAAUUCGAAACCACGCGAAGAACCUUACCUGGGCUUGACAUGUUUGAGAACUUUCUCGAAAGAGAGAGGUGCCCGCAAGGGAGCUCUUUCACAGGUGCUGCAUGGCUGUCGUCAGCUCGUGUCGUGAGGUGUUGGGUUAAGUCCCGCAACGAGCGCAACCCCUAUGGUUAGUUGCCAGCGGAUCAAGCCGGGCACUCUAAUCAGACUGCCGGUGUUAAGCCGGAGGAAGGUGGGGACGACGUCAAGUCCUCACGGCCCUUAUGCCCAGGGCUACUCACGUGCUACAAUGGUCGGUACAGAGGGCCGCUAACCCGCGAGGGGGAGCAAAUCCCAAAAAGCCGACCUCAGUUCGGAUUGGAGUCUGCAAUUCGACUCCAUGAAGGCGGAAUCGCUAGUAAUCGCGGAUCGGCAUGCCGCGGUGAAUACGUUCCCGGGCCUUGUACACACCGCCCGUCACACCACGAAAGCCGGUGGAACCAGAAGUCGGUAACCCAACCCGCAAGGGAGGGAGCCGCCCAAGGUUUGGCCGGUGAUUGGGGUGAAGUCGUAACAAGGUA
rnacentral:rRNA from 1 species